ensembl:lncRNA
GUGACUUGUGGCACUUCAGCUGUCUGUGGCAGAAGUGGUGAUAGGCAAAUGGUACUCUGGGCAGCAUUAAUCUGCCUUACCGUUGAGCUCGUCCUGUCUGACUCACCUGUCCUGUACUUCCCAGUUCCUUCAGCAGGUGCAGGAGCUGUUUCCAGUCCUUUUCCUCACAUAACUACAGUUGGCUCCUUGAACAUUCUCUGUCUCCUGUGAGCAAAGGAGGUCCUGCAUAGAGCACUGGCUGUGAGCACACAGCACAGCCCUCAGUAACUCAUGUCCAUAAGCAAACCACAGGAAGGUUAAGUGGGCAAUAUUAAUUUCCCCACUUGAUUUCCAAAUGCUUUCCUUUCCAACCCUCUAUUUUUCUACACAUUCUGGUGUAAAAUCAUCUUAGGUGCGAUUUCUCACCUUCCCAUACUGAGCACUCACUGCCACAUAAACAGCCCAAAAUGUGAAAUAAAUUGUGCUUAAUCGAAAAAAUGAGAUCUGCCCUGUGAGUCCACUGCUUCAUCUAUUCUUUUUCUUGCCUGGAGGGUUUACAGUGUCUUCAAACUCUUCUACCUCAGGAAGUACCAUAAAGAAAGGUAACAGCACAUAUCCAGGUGUAAUAUUCUGCACCAUAGACCUGUGCUCUAUCUUUUCCAGAUCCCUGCAGGAGCAGAAGACAGGACAACAGCUUCAGGGUUGGAGGGCAUCUGCCAGAGCUCUACUGCUCAUCUGGGUCUUUGUAAUAAGGAGAACUCUGUUUUCCCAGCUUUUCCAAGUUUCCAGGCCUAUCAUCCAGCCACAUCCUCUCUACUCACAUCGAUGCCUUCACUUCAAAGAUAACAGCACACAGAUGUGUAUCUGCACCGCUCUUCAUCCAGCCACAUCUACAGGCUGGCUGUGCAGGAGGCUGGGGUUCACCACAGACAUGCUCAGUUGA